CAUCGCUCCCCGAAUUUAAAACAUAGGGAGUCCUGCCUGCCCAGUGACUAGAGGUUAAACGGCCGCGGUAUCUUGACCGUGCGAAGGUAGCAUAAUCAUUUGUCUCCUAAAUAGAGACUAGUAUGAAUGGCAAGACGGAACCAAACUGUCUCUUUUUCACAACCCUGAAUUUCACCUCCCCGUGAAGAGGCGGGGAUAAAAUCGUUAGACGAGAAGACCCUGUCGAGCUUUAAGCGGAAACUAAAAUUUUUACCCACUUUACCUUGUGACUAACUAAUAUAUCUAUCCAAGAGCAAGUUUAAAACUGUUUAGAGGAAGCUUUGGUUGGGGCAACCGCGGAGUAAGAAGAUCCUCCGCUAACAAAAUAUUAUUAUAAUGAGAACUACAAUUCUACAAUCAAAAUGAAAGAGUGAUCCACUAAGGUGAUCAAAGAAACAAGUUACCGCAGGGAUAACAGCGUUAUCUUUUCUGAGAGUUCACAUUGACGAAAGGGUUUGCGACCUCGAUGUUGGAUCGGGACAUCCUAAGGGUGCAGAAGCUUUUAAGGGUUGGUCUGUUCGACCAUUAAAGUCCUAC
rnacentral:rRNA from 1 species